CAACCAUUGAUAUAUUAAACUACUAAGCUCAAUACGUUAUUAACUCAUUAAAUUUUGUUAUCGUUACCCUGGAGGCUCUAUCUUUUGGCCCUUUUUCGAUACUGAUUACAGUUUGUCAAAUUUUCCGCGGAUUGUGAGCAGUUGCAUGUUCAGUCCGAUUAGCAAAUUUUGAUAUAAAUAUGCUUAUACGAUCAACUUGCUAACUGAACGACGUUUAGCUGGGAAAUGCCCGAAAUCACUUUCCUCUCAAAAUGCCAAACAGUAAAACUAAUUUUUCAUUCCGUACUCAAAUAAAGGUCUAAUAUAUAAUGCAUAUAACUGGCAGACGCAUUCGGUUUCCAAACGUUUUGGUCAGUUCUUCAGAUGGGUGGAGCCAUACUCGUCUUUAUCAGGGAAAUCUGGCAAAAUCAAUGUCAUUUACCCAUUUCAAGCACUUUCAUCAUAAACUCACUUUCCUCUCAAAUUGCCAAACAGUAAACAAAUUAUUCAUUCCGUGCUCUAAUAAAGGUCUAAUAUAUAAUGCAUAUAACUGUCGGAAAAAAGUUAGCAUUCGGUUUCCAAACGUCUUGGUCAGUAAUUUAGAUGGGUUGAGCCAUGCUCGUCUUUAUCAAGGAAAUCUGGCAGCUAUAGAGUGAAGAAUUUGGAAGGAUUGAGAAGUAAAACAUUUCAGUAGUGUUUUUAGAUUUACUAAAUUACCUGCUACAAGUCAAGCAAGUUUAGAGUAAUAGCUGUUAGAAGGAUCGAUAACUUUGCUAGAGACUCGGGAAUGGAUUACAAAUUACGAACAGUCAGAUGAUAAAGAAGGCUCCAUUGUGUGGUAAAACAUAAGCAGGGAAGUAGGACGGCAGCGCGGCAUGAAACUAAAAGUUCUAGUAAUAUGUUUCGCAUAGAAGAAAACACCUUUGACCCAUGUAACCAAGAUGUAACAAUAUGUCAUGGCUAGAAAUAGUUGAUGCAUAGAUAUCUUAAAGCAAGCAACGAAAGCGAUAAUUUCAUCAAUUGUCGCCGUGGAUUACAAGAAACGGGAAGCAAAAGCAACGGUUUGUUCGGAUAGUAAGAGUGACUGUUACUCUACGGAAUUGGUGUGAAAGUAUAACUACACGUCAUUUUUCUUCACUUACACGGGCAGACCUGAAGUCUACAAGUACCGACGCCGGUAGGUUCACGUUGCUUCCAAGCAUUGAAAUUGAAAUACCGUGUGAAUACUCUCUGUAUAAUUGCUAAUAUAACUUUCCCACUGGACUAUUUUCUUUACAGUUUGUUUUGGAAACACUCCAGUGGGCCAUAUAUAUAUCCGUGCCAUGCUCUUCUGUGGGAAACGGUCAUGUUAUGACACAACAGCUGAAUCAGAGACUGGAAUUGAAUUAAAUUGCCUAAAUGAAGAUAAGGAAAAGGAAGAUUUUGAGAACAAACUGAAAAGGAAGAUUCAAUAUGGGGAUGCUGAGGAGGUCAGUAGAAUUUCCCCAAAGGAUCUGACGAAAUGCAAUUCUAAUGCAUUGUUUAUGGCCAUGAAGAUGAACUUUGAAGUUCGCCACAGAGCAGAUGAAAAGGGUCCAGAUGAAGAAGAAUUCAACAAGCUAGCUCACUCCUUGGACGAGUUCACCUCUUCUCUCCUUAACCCUUUAAAGUCUAACACAGAAAACCGUCAAAUUUUUGCAGAUUCUUUGGGUGAUGUUAUGGAAAAUGCCAUUGAGUUAGAACAAAAGAAGUUACUGUCUCAUCCAGUUCUUUACAGCCUAAUGAACAGCAAAUGGAUCAGCCACUCAAGAGAAUGGCGCAAUACACCAUAUUGGAAAUGGCUGUUCCUUAACCUCUGCUGUCUAUUUGAUUUGCUGCUGUUCCCAGUCCUCUUCCUUGUCCUCUACCUGAUACACCGAGUCAGGGAAAAGGCACAAGCAAACAAAAAACGUGGAAUUGCAUUUGUGAUAAACGCAACUUCCGAAGUUGCAGAACUGUCCUUUCAACUGAUGCAAGCCACCAUCAAGUUUGUGAUGAAUAAAUACGGCCUUAAGAACGUCAAGUUCCACAUCAUAACAAGAGGAAAAGAUAAAAUUCACUUUGACAGCAAUUUGUCAGAUGUUACAGCAUUGAAGCAAGCGGUGGAUAAGCUUGAAGGAGGAAACGAAGGCAUCCCUGCGCUGCAUAAAGAUUUAGAGAAAGCUGUUUCCGCGUUCGAUAGCGAAUGCGUCAGUAAUUGCAAAAAGGUCUUGAUUUUGCUAACGGAUCAUAGAACAUGCGCAAGAAACGAGAAACAGAAAGUUAAGGAGAGAGCUGGACAAUUGUCCGACGUACAACUGUUGCCAAUAGCAAUCGGAAGACAUGUCAACCUUAAGGAACUGCAGAAGAUCAACAAUGGCCGCGAGGUUCCUAUGUUCGGAGAAUACGAAGAUCCUGAGAAAGUUGGAACGAAGAUUAUUCAAGAAAUAGAGGGAAAAGACUUCUACGAUCGCUACUUGGAAUACUUCAUGACACCUUAUUUCAUCUUUGUUCGUGACACACUCAGCUACCUAGCCCUGCUUGGUCUUCAUUUGUUCAUAUGCCUCGCUCCUUCCACAAUUGCCUUCAGUGGAGUCGAGUGGGCGAUUUUUCUCUUCUUCUUGGGUCGAAUAGCAAUGGAAGGCAAACAGUUUUUUCGCGCCAAUGUGCUGCGGAGAUUUAAACGUCAUCAAGAUGCAACGGGCAGCGAAAGAAGCCUUGGCGUUCUGUGGAGUUUGACCAAAUAUUUCAGCGAUUGCUGGAAAAUCCUGGACACUGCCACCAUCGUGAUUUACCUGGCUACAUUUACACUGAGAAUGGUUACGUGGGCUUUAUCUGGUGCAGUUGUCAACAAUCGAGUCCUGGUCAUUACUGGUUACUUGUACGGACUCAAUACCAUGUUACUCACGCUCAGGGCGUUUGGUCACAUGAUGGAGACGACAAAAAGAAUCGGUGCCAUUCAGAUUGCUUUGUUCCACAUAAUUGGAGAUGUGGUCACUAUCUUUUGGCAGUUUUUGGCAACCAUUUUAGCCUUUUCCCUGGCUGCAACCAAAGUUUAUAUGGCUGAAAAAUCGUAUGUUAUCGAAAAUGGCAUUGGAAGAGAUCUGGCAUGCAGCACUACCGGAAUAUACUGUUGGUGGUCGAUGCUCAAACACUUCUUAUGGUCCUUGCUGGGGAUAGCAGAUCUGGAUCCUCUCGAUUCAGUUGAUAGUCCUUCGGUCAUUCUAGCGUAUUUCCUGUACGGUGUGUUUUUGAUUAUGGCCGUUAUUCUUCUAAUCAACAUGAUGAUUGCUCUUUUAUCAAACACAUAUCAGCAAGUCGCGGACCAUUCUUUAAUGGAGUGGUCAUACAAGAAAGCAAUCACCAUCCAAGUUUACAGUGCUUACGAUCCCAUACCUGUACCUUUGAACCUGAUAUCUAAUUGCAUCACACUACUGUGGUCUUUGAGAAACUGUACAUUGUCUACAAGAUCAAAUAUUCCAACGAAUAAACAGCGGAAAGAAACAGAACACAGCUAAAUUAAUCGCACAUGCAUGUAAUCUCAAGGCUCUAGAUGCAGUUGUCGAGGAUCUUUACCGUACCUACUUUGCAACUUAUGGCUAUGCCUUUCCUCUGACGGAGGAGACUAAACUGGACCAGGUGC
rnacentral:misc_RNA from 1 species